GGAAGUUCAGCGUCUAGAUGGCAGUCCUUGGGUCGCUGACUUCACAUGUGCGCAUCCGUCCUCAUGACACUCCUGCGUGAGGGAAGGUGCUGGCUUCCAGCACAGGAUGCAUCCAGAGCUGGCGAGUGUCACCUGCUCCCCAGGCCACCUGCACCAAGCCAUGCAAGGGCUGCUACUCCUUCCAGGAUUCUGCUUUCUGCUAAACUUGCCGGAAGCUGUGUUUCAGUAUGUCUCCGUUAAUACUUGUUCCUGCCCCCUGCAUGCCUCCUGCAUCUACGGAACCGCGUGCACCUGCAACCCUGGGUUUAAGUCCAGCUCUGGACAGGACAUAUUCACUUUUCCCCUGGAGACAUGUGCAGAUAUCAACGAAUGUCAACCACCUAUCAGUGUGUAUUGUGGAUUAAAUGGCGAGUGUGAGAACACGGAAGGAAGCUUCCACUGUCGCUGUGUGUCUGGAUACCAACUGGCUUCUGGCGGUGUGACAUUCAAGAAUUCCACUGAGAACACGUGUCAGAUGACCCACUUCGCGUCUUUUGCAGAGAGCAACUCCUCUACGACAACCAGAGGCAAGGAAGAGCUGCAAGAAGUCGUCAACAACAUCGAGUCACUUCUCACUAACAAGACGUUACGGGAAACAGGAAACAAGGGAGAAAUUGCACUUGCAGCUUCAGCUCUCCUCCAGAGCACGGAAACAAUGGCUCUAGAAGCUGCCUUGAAAGCCCCAGAGCUAAGACUGCAGAAAGUCCAAAACAGCACUGUGGCUAUCACCACGCAUGUGCUCAGGAACAAGUGCUCGGAGGACAGGAAGUUGGUGACCCUCACCACGCAAAGCAACUCCGUGCAGCUGCACUGCGAUGAUGUCACGCGGGACAACCCCCAUGGCCCCAGUGCGAUUGCCUUUAUCUCCUAUUCUUCUCUUGGAAACAUCCUAAACGAAACUUUUUUUGAGAUGACGGAGAGAGUGCCAUCAUACGUGGUCUUCCAAGAAGAGAUGGACCACAAGGAACCAGUUUACCUGAACUCCCAGAUAGUGAGUGCAGCCAUUGGACCCAACAGGAGCUCAUUUCCCCUCCAGUUCGUGACUCUGACUUUAAGUCACAUCAAGAUGAAGCCCAGAAACAAGGAGACCUUGUGUGUCUACUGGAAGGUCACAGGGUGGGGCAGCCACUGGUCCACAGAUGGUUGCUUCUUGGUGAGUGUAAACGACAGUCACACCGUAUGCAACACCACACAUCUGUCCAGCUUUGCUGUCCUCAUGGCCUUGACCAACCAGGAGGAAGACCUGGCGCUGACUGUCAUCACCUAUGUAGGGCUCAGCCUGUCUCUGCUGUGCCUCCUCCUGGCGGCCCUCACCUUCCUGCUGUGCAAGGCCAUCCAGAACACCAGCACCUCGCUGCACCUGCACCUCUCCAUCUGCCUCUUCCUGGCCCACCUCCUCUUCCUCACGGCGAUCGACCGAACGGAGCCCAAGGUGCUGUGCGCCAUCACGGCGGGCGCCCUGCACUACCUCUACCUGGCGUCCUUCACCUGGAUGCUUCUGGAGGGCCUGCACCUGUUCCUCACUGCGCGCAACCUGACGGUGGUCAACUACUCCAGCAUAAAUAAAUUCAUGAAGUGGAUGAUGUACCCAGCUGGCUACGGUGUCCCUGCUGUCAUCGUGGCCAUUUCAGCAGCAUCCAGGCCUCACCUGUAUGGGACACCUGACCGCUGCUGGCUCCAGCUGGACAAGGGGUUCAUCUGGGGAUUUCUUGGCCCAGUCUGUGCCAUUGUCUGUGUGAAUUUAGUACUUUUUGUCUCUGUCCUUUGGAUUUUGAAAAGGAAACUUUCCUCUCUCAACAGUGACGUGUCAACCAUCCAGAACACAAGGAUGCUGACAUUCAAAGCCACAGCGCAGGUCUUCAUCCUGGGCUGCACGUGGUGUCUGGGCGUCCUCCAGGUGGGUCCAGCUGCCCAAAUCAUGGCGUACCUCUUCACCAUCAUCAACACCCUGCAGGGCGUCUUCAUCUUCCUGGUGUACUGCCUCCUCAGCCAGCAGGUUCAGAAACAAUAUCAAAAGUGGUUUACAGAUAUCACGAAAUCCAAAUCUGAGUCUGAAGCAUAUACACUUUCCAGCAAGUUUGGCCCUGACACAAAACACAGUGAGAGCAAAUGAAGAAACAUUCAGAACAGUCUUGCGGAAAGUCACGCCUGCCGUGGGUCUUGCUGGCACUGUGAAGGCUGAAGCUGAGGAGGGAACAUGUCAUGCAAGAGGACACAACCAACGUUGGCUUCCUCAAGUGCUGGCUAGGCACAAUAAGCUUGCAGUAAAUGUGUGUUGCAUUGGAGUUCUCCUUGCUGUGACAUCAGUCCUGUUCCCAGGGACCCAAAUCAUGACUGACGUUUUUUGCAAAAGAGGGUGCCCCUCUCCAGCCCUUCCCUCAAACUCUCACCCUCACUCAUUGUAAGCUCGCUCUUUCAGUGCUUCCAGUCCCUCCAGCCUCCAGCUUCACCUCCUUUCUUGGGCAGGAAAAGCCCAUUCUGGCAACCCUUGCUUUCUUAUUUGGAUGAUGGCUGACCUUGGUGUCAACCCACCUGCUUAGAGACAAGCGCGGGAAAACUGUUCUCCAGGGACUUCCCAGGCUGGGGUGGUGUCACUUGGUCCCCACAGUGUCCUGAGGCUCCCACAUCCUUGGACCGAGUAGUUUGGUGUGUCUCGCAGCCACAGGACGGCCGUUGUGGGGCUGCCCCGCUCGGGAGGUGAGGACCACUGGGGCACGUCCCCUCCCGUCGCCAUGGCCACUCUGUUGGCUGUCCCCUCUCCAUAGCUCUGACAUGCGUACGUGGAAAACCCGAACCUUUCCCUUAACGUGAGGGAAAACCUGGUCUCCUACUUCACAGGUGGCCGACGCCAGCUGGUGGCACUCCCUCAGCUUCCUGCCAUCUUACAGAUACACACUCAUCCUACCUCAUCCACACCCAUCCUACCUCGUUCCCGCCUCGGCGCCCGUGUCUCCCCCUCCAUUCUGCCAUAAAAGCGCACGGGUUUAAGACUAACCCUUGCUGUGGCUCACGCCUGUAAUCCCAGCCACUCAGAAGGCAGAGAUCAGGAGGAUCAAGAUUUAACGCCAGCCCACGUGAAUAGUUCCUGGGAUCCCCAUCUCCAAAAUACCCAGAGCAAAAUGGACUGGAGGUGUGGCUCAAGCUGUAGAGCACCUGCUUUGGAAGUGUGAAGCCCUGAGUUCAAACCCCAGUCCCAUAAAAAAAAAGAAGGGAGAGACAGAUUGAAGAAUUUUCACACACGUAAAUUACAUGGUAUUAGUAUUUUUCUUCCCAGUCUCUGUGAUCAUUUCUGUGGUUUGGUCUGAAAACCACGUUCUUCCUCUUUUGUUUCCCCCACAUCCUAUCCACAAAUCCUAUUGCUACCAGAAUCCACAGUUCCCACUGCUCCCACCUUCUGGGAAAAGCAGGAGACAGAAACCAGCGGGAGGAAAAAGAUUUUAGUUAAGGUCAGCCCUGAGGAGAAUAGAGAGUUCCUGUGUCAAAUCUCCAUCUUUGGGAGGACUGGGGUAGAGUGACACAGCAGGAAGAAAACCCCCACGCUGGCUCGAGCCUUUCUCUUCUCUCCAGCGCGUGGACUCUCCUUUUCCGCUUUUUUUGUUUUGUUUUGUUUUUGGUGGAACUGGGGUUUGAACUCAGGGUUUCGCACUUGCAAAGCAGGUGCUCUGUUGCUUGAGUGACACCUUCAGUUCAUUUUGCUCUGGUUAUUUUUGGAGAUGGGAAUCUGAAGAAUUAUUUCUGGUCUCAAACUUCGAUCCUCCUGAUCUUAGCCUUCCAAGUAGCUGGGGUUACGGGCAAGAGCCACCAUGCCUGGCCUUCUCCUUUUCUUUGAAACUUAACCAGGACCUGAGACCCAGACUCCUGGGGCCAGCACCGGCAUUUUCUUUCCAGAAAAACACAUGACCUCAAGUGUAUUUGUGUGAGUGAGGAGAGGAGGCAUUGCAGAUGUGUCUUGUCAGGAUUUAGGUACCAUGUGAAAGGCAUGGGUCAUUAAAAGAUUAGGGAAAGAGCAGCCGGGUGUGGUGGUUCAUGUCUGUAAUCCCAGCGCUGGAGAGGCUGAGGCAGGAGGAUCAUGAGUUUGAGACCAGCCUGGACUACACAGUGCUAGACCCUAUCUCAGAAACCAAUAAAUAAAUAAAUAAGGACUAGGGAAGGAAAGCACAGGGAACCACUUCUACUUUUCUGUUACACUACAGGUAGCUGACCCCUUGUUCACUAGCCCUGGUCUCAAAGGCCCCUGUGUUACCAUAAUCACCCCCAGAAAAGUCCCAAGAAUCACAGACCAGCACUGGGGCUCCGAUCUCCUCUCUCAACCCAGGAUAUCUGUUUCCCAGCACACCGCACCUGCUCCUUUCCCAAAAUAACCAGCUGAGACCGGAGCCACCGAGGUCAGGGCCCUUGGGGAAUUCAACUUUACAGCCAAUCCCUUGGGACAUAGCAAGGGCUGCAAAAAGACACCAGUCAUGAGACAGAGACUGAGCGAGAAUCCUAGCUGUGACAUGUAUCCAUUAAAUGACAGUGGAGAAGCUACUAGAUAUCCCCUUCCAGACCUGUUUUCACAGCUAUAAAAUGGAGUUCAGGGGCUGAGCGUGGUGGUGCAUGCCUGUAACCACAGCUACUCAAGAGGCAGAGAUCUGCAGGGUCAAGGCUUCAGCCUAGCUCGAGCAAAAAGAAAAAAAAAUUAGGAAGACCUCAUCUCAGUUAACAAACUGGGCAUGGUGGUGUGUGCCUGUAAUCAACAAAGCAUCCAACUUUGGCUCCUUCUGGACCCAGUGUGGUAAAAGAGUCCCCUUUUGAAGUGUCUUCAAUUAGACACUUAGGAGAGAUGUAGGAGAUAGCCUGCGGUGACCCUACCUUGGUU